rnacentral:lncRNA from 1 species
UUUAGUCCAAAAUAAAUGCUGCUGCUCAUUCCUACCUAGUGCUUUGCCUUUACCUUUUGGAUCUAAUGUUUCCUUGUAGCAAAUCUUUAGGAAAUUUCUUAUGUCUGGGCCCUAACACAUCACAUUAGUGUCUUUCUAUGUACUAUGCACAUUCAUUUCCAGCAAUCACUAAAUCAAGUAUGUUCUUCCAAAAUAGAAUGAACAUAUGCUUUUCAUCCCAGGAUAGCUUUAUAUAAUCCCUGGCAACACAGAAUAUCACAUUUGGCCCACAGUAGGGAUUCAAUAAAUAAUUCAUUAUGUGCAGUAUUAAUCAGGAAAUUAUAACUUUUUGGCCUUUGCUCCUUUUUAGAAUCAGUAUUAUAAAUAAUUAUAGUUACUGAAGGAAAAAAAAAAAACUACACCAAUUCUUCUUGAAACAGUUAUAACAGUUCUCCCCUAUGGAACCAAAUUUUCCAUGUUCUUUAGAAGGUAGGAGUGGUUAGUUUGCUCUGCAGCUUAGAUCAAUGCACUGAAUACCUGGUGGGAAGAGAGUCCUUAGAUUGGCUGUUCUUCAAUUUUAUUGUGUGUAGAUUCACACAGACAGCUUGGCAAAAUGCAGAUUCCUGGCUCCUAAACUUAGAGGCUCCCAUCCAACUGUUCUAGGUUUGGGCCCAGAUCUGCAGUUUUAUGAACCAUCUGAAAUCUCUGUCAUGUGAGGAUAUGAUAAGAAGAUGUCUUUCGGCAGGCCAGAAAGAAUGCCUUCACCAGACAGACCAUCUGCCAGUACCCUGGUCCUAUACUUCCCAACCUCCGGAAUGGUGAGAAAUAAGUUUCUGUUGGUUAAGCCAAUCAGCCAAUAAACAAACUGACAAACAACUGAGAUGAUUCAGGUAUAAGUAGUUCUGCC